CCAAUGAUCCACAUAUUCCUUUAUUAUGAGCCAUUCAUCUAUAGCUAAUGUAAACCACAUAUUUCCAAAUGAAAAUCAGAAUUGGAUUCAGAAAAUCAAAUAAAGAAAGAUCGAGAGAGAGCAAGACACAGAGGGAGAAAGGGGAAAAACGAAAACAGAAAGGAAGGAAGAAGGCUUCGAUCUCACCAUCCUCGUACACCCAUCGCUGCUACUAUUAUCAAUCGAAGAUACUGCACAUAGAGAGAAGAAAAGAGCGACGAACUGGGAGACGCGUUGCUUCUGUUGACAUUUACUGGAGUUGCCACGCGUAGAAGAGAGGUUACCGCUGAUUCCGCCCAAGAUCAUCGUCGCCGCCACUACCAUUGAUGAAAGUCGGCGCCAUCGAAGGGGCCACUGGUGAGAGGAACCCUAACUGUCAUCGAUACCAUCGAACAGGGCAGGAAGGGGAGGAGUGACGUGAUGAGAGAAGAGAGUCGUUCUGCCACUGAUGCACUUGCUAGUGCUGUUGAGGGAGUCAGCCAUCCGAGAAGCAUCAUCCACGUUAUUGCUGUGAACUAUUUCAGCCCUACCCUGGAAAAAUGCCCAAAAAUGUUUUUGUUUCCGUCUAGCCAUCAUUAUCGCGAUUAUUGAUGACAUAGCUGCUACAGAGAGUCAUUGGCAUCACUGUUGCGGUUGCUGCCACGAAUUAGGAAUAAAGGGAAUUGCUGUGUUAGAUCCUGCGAUUAUGACAUCGAGGUGAAGAAAGGAAGAAAAGAGGAAAAGCGUGGCUUAAGAAAGCGUGGCCCAAGAGACAAGAAGUGUGGCGCAUGGAAGGGAGGAAGCAAACAUUGCCCUCCACAAGGGCACACUACCCUCCAGGAGGGCAACAUUAUGAACCAAGCUUUGAGGCAAUACUGCCCUGCCCACAACAAGGGCAGAGCACAAUUUGAUGCUAAGGAUCAAGGAGAGCAAAAACUCUGCCCUGCCCUCCUCAAGGGCAAUAUCGGGCUCAUCAAAGAAAUAAAUUCAAGGAAAAAGCCUACCAAUGCUUGCCACAAGGUUCGAACUCAUGAGCAAGGGGGAGUGGGAGAGUGAUACUCACAAGCUUGCCUUCAUUCUCCCAAGAUCGAACACGGCACCAUGAGGAAGCAAGGAACUAAGCAUGACUUUGGUGCCAAGAAAACCAAAGAAAAGAAGUAGCGUGUGCCACCACCAAGUUUCAAACUUGGGACCUCAUCUUUGGCACAUUGCCCUGCCCUCCACAAGGGCAGGGCAGCAUUUUUUUGAUGCACGGCCAGCGCACAAGAUUGGCGCACCAAGGAGUCUCGGCCAGCAAGCACACACGUGCGGGCAGCAGAAUCUGGCGCACCAACAAAAUUCUGCCCUGCCCUCCACAAGGGCAGGGCAGCAUCCUGCAGCACCACUCGCACCAAACACGCACGCACAAGGCCGCACGCACCAUUUCCUGCCCUGCCCUCCACAAGGGCAGGGCAGCCUCCUAGGAGCUACUUCUUCAUGGGCUGAAAUUGGAUUAAAAAUCCAAUUAAAUUCAUUUCUUCACCAAAUCAAAAGCCCAUCCAAAUUCCAAAAUCCAAGAAUAGAAAGUGUAUAAAUAGGAGAUAGUUUGAUGGAAUUAGAAACUUUUCUUUUCACUUUUGAAUUGAGAGCUUCUUUUGAUUUUGAAAUUUUGAGACUUCAUUGAGAGCUUUGAACUGAGAUUUUAGAGAAUUGGGAAGGAGAAUUGAUCUCUCUUCUUCCUUGUUCUUGCUUGAGCAUUUUUACUUUUCUUGUUUGAAUCUUGGAUGUGAAGAGUUGAGGAAUUUCUGUCUCAAUCUCCAUUUAAGAUCUCUUUGAUUAUCUCACUGCAUAAUUGAAUUGAACCCAAUUUCCUUUA